AUUCCAGCUCCAAUAGCGUAUAUUAAAGUUGUUGCAGUUAAAAAGCUCGUAGUUGGAUUUGUGGUUGGGUCUGUCGGUCCGGCACAUUGUACGGGUACUUGAUGGACUCGUCCAUCCUUGGGUGGAAUCUGUGUGGCAUUAAGUUGUCGUGCAGGGGAUGCCCAUCGUUUACUGUGAAAAAAUUAGAGUGUUCAAAGCAGGCUUAUGCCGUUGAAUAUAUUAGCAUGGAAUAAUGAGAUAGGACCUUGGUACUAUUUUGUUGGUUUGCGCACCGAGGUAAUGAUUAAUAGGGACGGUUGGGGGUAUUCGUAUUCCAUUGUCAGAGGUGAAAUUCUUGGAUUUUUGGAAGACGAACUACUGCGAAAGCAUUUACCAAGGAUGUUUUCAUUA
rnacentral:rRNA from 1 species